rnacentral:lncRNA from 1 species
UUCUGAAUUUACUUAAUCCUUGUGGGUAUAUGUUGUAUUGUUCAUUGUAUUGUUUUCUCCCCAGGUUUCCCUGGACCCCAGGGACAACCUGGAGGUCCAGGACCAGAAGGGGACAGUGGACUUCCAGGGCCCCAAGGUCCAGAGGGCCCCGAGGGGCAACCGGGUCCAAAAGGUGAGGCUGGCGUUCCAGGUGCUCCAGGAAUCCCUGGCUACUCCAGUGGUGGAUCAUCCAGGAGUUCCCCUGGAGCACCAGGUCCACCUGGACCUCCCGGGGAACCCGGCCGUGAUGGGCCACCUGGGUCUGGGGAUGGAACACCGGACGUCCGUCAAUACAUCACAGAAUACCUCAAGAGCGAUGGUGUCAGGGAGUACAUGUCGGGUCCUCCGGGUCCUCCGGGCGUACCGGGGCCCCCUGGUGGUGGAUCAGUGGAGUCAGUGGAUGACCUUGCUAGUCGC